UCUUCUUAGCAACAUUCCAGUGUUUGAAAAUGGCGGACGAGGCACUUGCCAGAGCGGGUCUUCAUUUUGACGAGUUAAAUAAGAUAAGGGUGCUUGAGCCAGAGGUGUCUCAAGAUACCACAGAAUUGAAGGAAGAAUGUAAAGAUUUUGUAGAUAAAAUGGGUGAAUUUCAGAAGAUAGUGGGAUCAUUUAUAGAUAUGGUAGACAAAGUGUCAAAAGAAGUUGAAAAAGAAAAAAUGAAGGCUAUUGGAUCCAGGAAUCUCCUUAAAUCAAUUGCAAAACAAAGAGAGGCUCAGCAACAGCAGCUACAGGCAUUAUUAGCUGAAAAGAAAAUGCAGUCAGAAAGGUUACGAGUACAAUAUGAAGCUUUACAAAAGGAAGAGGCAGAGCAAAAUGAAUUUAUUGAACAGUUCAUUUUACAAAAAUGAAACUCUCAACUGGACUGUGAUAUCUUAUUAAAGAAAAGCAAAUUGUAUGUUUUUGUAGCAUGGGAAAGCAGGAAGGUUUUCAUGUAUUCCACAAGUCAAAGGACAGUGCGCUUUUCUUUUUAUGUAACUGACUAAGCAGAACUACUUAGCAACACAUAACCAGUGCCAGAUUAUUCACUGAACAUCAGUGCAGAGGUCGGACCUUUUUUCAGAAAACAAGUGAACUGCAAUAUCUCCUAUCGGUCUCAUACAUUGAGGCGUGUCAACUUGGGUUUUAAAUAUUUGCCAAUUCAUAAUUGUAUUAUGUUGAAAGCAGUACAGUACUCUUGCAAUUUAUAGAGUAUUCGUUAGGUUUUUUUUUAACAUUUUGAAUGACACGUACAAUCUACAACCAUUAACCCCAAAAAUAUAUUGUUAAAUUAAAGACAGAAAAAAAAGCAACUUUCUUGUUACUAAAGUGAUGCUUGUUAUUCUUACUUACUCUUUGAAAUAUAUAUUUUUUCGUAUGUGACCUUGAAGUUCUAAGUUUAUUUAAAUAGUCCAGGCCCCCAUUUCACAAAGAAUAUUAAAUCUGUAGUUGACUAGUAGCCCGACGUAACUAAGUGAUGUAAGGACUUAAUUAUGUUGGUAACCAAGUUCUGGGAACCCGACUUAAGUUUUUUUGUGAAACGGAGGCCAGAUCAAG